UGAAACACUCAGAGAUGAAGUCGUCAAUGUCAUAUUGAUUCAGAAACAUCUAAAAUUCUUCCGUAACAUUCAAAAUUUCAAUGUAAAACUGACUGGUUUCUUCUAAAUUAUCGUGAUAACAAUAAAGAUGGUAGUGAAGCACAUAGAAUGCGCUGACGGUUGCUACCGGCCGGCAGGCAAGAGGCUAGCCCUUUUCGCGCCGCAAGGAGAAUAUCAGUGCUAUGCUGAUAGCUAUGUCAAGUGUUUCUGGGGUCUAUGUGACCUCCACAAAAGCCAUGAACGCCUAGUACCGAAAGAGGAGGUAGAAGUAAUAACAGAACAACCUAAAGGGCAAAUUUUACCAUACAAGAACCCAAUAACAAAGAAAAUAAUUAUUUAUGGACACUAGCAAAAAUAAAAUGUAUUUACAUAUUUAUCAAAAAUUGUAUUUUCAUAAUCUA